rnacentral:lncRNA from 1 species
GGAGCAGGAUGGAGGAUAAUUGCCAAGAGAGACACUGAGCCCCUCAGCGUGGCUGGAGGGCAGAGUGGGCACAGAACACAGGGCUGGAGGAAGGCAUGGGCCAGACAGGGAAAUUGAAGCUGUCACAGCUGGGGAAGCUGUCACAGCUGGGGAAGCCACCUGAUUUCAGACUUCUAGCCUCCAGAACUGCGAGAGAAUACAUUUCUGUUUUUAGCCACUAGGAUUGUGGUAAGGAGUUACAGCAGCCUUAGGGAACCAAUAUACUACAGAAAUCCUUUAUUAUAUGAGAUUGCAUAGAUUUUUGCCUCAUCCAUUACAUGCCUUUUCAUUUGCUUCACAGCGUAUUUAAAUUUUGAAAACAUUCAAAAUUUGUGUCUUAUCUCACCAAAUGUAAACCAAGGUCACUAAGACUUUCUGUUAUGUUUUCAUCUAGAAACUUUGUAGAUUUAGUGUUUACAUAAUUGUUUUCCCCUCAUUCAAUUACCUUGGUACCUUUGUAGAAAAUCAGCAGACCAUAUACAUAUGUGGCUCUGUUUCUGAACUCUCUACUUUGUUCUAUUCACUCAUGUUUCUAUCCUUACCCCAAUACCGUACUGUUGUGUUCACUAUAGCUUUAUAGGAAGCCUUAAAAUGAGGCAGUGUGAAUCCUCCAACGCUUCUUUUCUCAAAAUCGUUUUGACUCCUCUAGGUCCUCUGUAUUCUCUUACAAAUUUUCUCAUCAGCUUGUAUGGUUCUACCAUAUUCACACACAAUAAGGUCUGCUGGCAUUCAUUUUGAUUGGCAUUGUGUUGCAUCCAUAGAUCAAUAUGGGGAGAAGUGACAUCUUAGCAAUAUCGAGUUCUCUGACCUAUGAACACAAUCUAUAGUUCUCUAAUAUAAAUAUAAAAUAUAUUUUAUAAUAUAAAUAUAAAAUAUAUUUUAUAAUAUAAAUAUAAAAUAUAUUUUAUAAUAUAAAUAUAAAAUAUAUUUUAUAUAUAAAUAUAAAAUAUAUUUUAUAUAUAAAUAUAAAAUAUAUUUUAUAAUAUAAAUAUAAAAUAUAUUUUAUAAUAUAAAUAUAAAAUAUAUUUUAUAAUAUAAAUAUAAAAUAUAUUUUAUAAAAUGUAUCCUUAAGGAUUUCACAUUUUUGAUGCUAUUGUAAAUGGCAUUUUUAUUUUGAGUUCCAGUUCAUUGCUAGAAUAUAGAAAUACAAUUGAUUUUUGUAUAUCAAUCUUGUACUUUGUGCCUUUCUUUAACUCAGUAGUUCCAGUAGCUUUGUUGCCAGAAGAUGGGCCUUGAUUCAAAUCCCAAGAGUCAUUUAUUGAAAACUACUCAGUUACAGAGUAGGGUGUCCUCAGAAAGCAAGAGGAGGAAUGUGCAGUCUUUUGUGUUUUGUUGUUGUUGUUGGGUUUUUGUUUUCGUUUUUUUUAAGAUAAGGUCUCCCUCUGUUGCCCAGGCUGGAGUGCAGUGAUACGAUCAUGGCUCACUGCACCUUGACCCUCUCAUGCUCAGGUGAUACUUCCACUUCAGCCUCUCAAGUAGCUGAGACUACAGGCACCCACCAUCACGCCCAGCUAAUUUUUGUAUUUUUUGUAGAGACGGGGUUUCACCAUGUUGCCCAGGCUGGUCUUGAACUCCUGGGCUCAAGUGAUCCACCCACCUCAGCCUCUAAAGUGCUGGGAUUACAGGCGUGAGCCACCAUGCCUGGGCCAUCUUUGUUUUAAACCCUUCUUAUAUAGGGGUCUUAUCUUUGUAAAGGCUAAGCUAAGUUCUGUCUAUGUGUGGGAGAGCUGACAGCAUGGCAAAAUUUACUAUUCUGUUGAUUUAAAGAAAAUUAUUAUUAUUAUUAUUUUUGAGACAGAGUUUCACUCUGUCACCCAGGCUGGAGUGCAGUGCCAUGAUCUCGGCUCACUACAACCUCCACCUCCUGUGUUCAAGUGAUUCUUCUGCCUCAGCCUCCCGGGUAGCUGGGACUACAGGUGUGUGCCACCACACCCAGCUAAUUUUUGUAUUUUUGGUAGAGACAGGGUUUCACCAUAUUGGCCAGGCUAGGCUCGGACCAGCCUCACAAAGUGCUGGGAUUACAGGCGUGAGCCACUGCACUUGGCCCCUUGUUUUUUUUAUUGAAUAAGCACCUCAAAGCAUAAAUAUAAUUAUCUUAAAAUCAUAUAUUGUUAUGGUUAUUGAGACAUCUGGACUUUCCUUUGUUGUAAGAUUGUGUUCUUUCAGGUACAUUUAAGCUGU